AGAGGACGAGAAUUCCAAGAUGGCGCAUAUGGGUCUUGAAAAGUAUUUAGAUCAGGUGAAAAAAGGACUUGUUUCCAAAAGUGGCGACAUUUUAGCGGAACUAUUUUCCUUUCGUCAUCCACACAUAGCAAGUCCAAGACUUCAGGUAAAACCAUUACAGAUUACUUACUUUGGGGAUAAUUUGUAUAAGUAUACAAUAGAAUAAU